rnacentral:lncRNA from 1 species
UAGCUUAGAAAUCUCAGGAUUAUUCUGAUCUCAGAAAAAUUAAGCUAUGUUCUCGAUCAAGAUCCCGUAAUACUACCAAACCAUCCACUGCUGAGUAAAGAAAUGCUUUUGAGAAGUGGAUGGAUGAAGAUAGUCGGAUCAAGUGCUAUGUGCUGGCGUCCAUGUCAAAUGAGUUGCAAAGCCAGCACGAGCAUAUGCCCA